UACGGGGGGGGUAAGCGUUGUUCGGAAUUAUUGGGCGUAAAGGGCUCGUAGGCGGUUUGUCGCGUCGGGAGUGAAAACUCAGGGCUUAACCCUGAGCCUGCUUCCGAUACGGGCAGACUAGAGGUAUGCAGGGGAGAACGGAAUUCCUGGUGUAGCGGUGAAAUGCGCAGAUAUCAGGAGGAACACCGGUGGCGAAGGCGGUUCUCUGGGCAGUAACUGACGCUGAGGAGCGAAAGCGUGGGGAGCGAACAGG
rnacentral:rRNA from 1 species